CGGCGUGGAUAAGACAUGCAAGUCGAAGGGGAUUAGCUUGUACCAAUACCGAUGGAUACAGAGGUUCCGGGUGCGUAACACGUGGAUCACUGAGCGGAAAGCGUGGAAUAGCCCAUGGUAACUCGGAUUAAUGCCUCAUGUGGUCGCGCGGGACAUCCUCCCGAAGGCAAAGUAGCAAGUCGCUUUCUGAUGAGUCCGCGGCCUAUCAGCUAGUUGGUGAGGUAACGGCCCACCAAGGCGACGACGGGUAGCUGGUCUGAGAGGAUGACCAGCUCCUGGAACUGAGGCACGGUCCAGACACCUACGGGUGGCAGCAGUCGAGAAUUAUUCACCAUGGGGGAAACCCUGAUGGAGCGACGCCGCGUGGAGGAUGAAGGUCUUCGGUUGUAAACUCCUGUCAUGCGAGAGCAAGAUUUGAGCGGGUAACUCCGCUGGAUUUGGUACCAANNGACGGGUAAGGAGUGCCAGCACCCG
rnacentral:rRNA from 1 species